UGAUGAUGAUGAUGAUGAUGAUGAUGAUGAUGAUGAUGAUACAAAUAUGAACUCCACCAUCUUCCGAUUUAUUAUCACUACCACCACCACCAUCAUCAUCAUCA
rnacentral:miRNA from 1 species